rnacentral:misc_RNA from 1 species
GAUGAAGAACGCAGCGAAAUGCGAUAAGUAAUGUGAAUUGCAGAAUUCAGUGAAUCAUCGAAUCUUUGAACGCACAUUGCGCCCGCCAGUAUUCUGGCGGGCAUGCCUGUUCGAGCGUCAUUUCAACCAUCAAGCCCCAGGCUUGUGUUGGGGACCUGCGGCUGCCGCAGGCCCUGAAAACCAGUGGCGGGCUCGCUGUCACACCGGGCGUAGUAGAUUUUAUCUCGCUCAGGGCGUGCUGCGGGUUCCGGCCGUUAAAAAGCCUUUUUUACCCAAGGUUGACCUCGGAUCAGGUAGGAAGACCCGCUGAACUUAAGCAUAUCAAUAGGCGGAGGA